rnacentral:rRNA from 1 species
CCGGUGACAUAUCCUUCAAAUGUCUGACUUAUCAGCUGUCGAUGGUAGACUCUGUGUCUACCAUGGCGCUCACGGGUGACGGGGAAUCAGGGUUCGAUUCCGGAGAGGGAGCCUGAGAAACGGCUACCACAUCCAAGGAAGGCAGCAGGCACGCAAAUUACCCACUCCCGGCACGGGGAGGUAGUGACAAAAAAUAACGAUACGGGACUCAUCCGAGGCCCCGUAAUCGGAAUGAGAACACUCUAAAUCCUUUAACGAAAAUCUAUUGGAAGGCAAGUCUGGUGCCAGCAGCUGCGGUAAUUCCAGCUCCAAUAGCGUAUAUUAAAGUUGUUGCGGUUAAAAAGCUCGUAGUUGGUUCUGCGUGCCGCGCUGUCGGUUCACCGCCUGCCGGUGCAACUGGCAUGCCGCGGCAUGUCCUGUCGGUGGCGGAUAGGCCCCGCUGGCCGCCCUGGGGGGUUCAUACCUUCUCAGGUAGUGGGCAGAGGGUGUCCUUGUACGCCGGAUCAAUCCUACCGCGGUGCUCUUCACCGAGUGUCGAGGUAGGCCGACACUGUUUACUUUGAACAAAUUAGAGUGCUUAAAGCAGGCUCUUAAAUCAGCCUGAAUAGUGGUGCAUGGAAUAAUGGAACAGGACCUUGGUUCUAUUUUGUUGGUUUUCGGAAUCCAAGGUAAUGAUCAAUAAGGACAGGCGGGGGCAUUCGUAUUGCGACGUUAGAGGUGAAAUUCUUGGAUCGUCGCAAGACGCACUAAAGCGAAAGCAUUUGCCAAGUAUGUCUUAAUUGAUC